rnacentral:rRNA from 1 species
AGUGAGCGCUGGCGGUAGGCCUAACACAUGCAAGUCGAACGGCAGCACAGUAAGAGCUUGCUCUUACGGGUGGCGAGUGGCGGACGGGUGAGGAAUACAUCGGAAUCUACUUUUUCGUGGGGGAUAACGUAGGGAAACUUACGCUAAUACCGCAUACGACCUACGGGUGAAAGCAGGGGAUCUUCGGACCUUGCGCGAUUGAAUGAGCCGAUGUCGGAUUAGCUAGUUGGCGGGGUAAAGGCCCACCAAGGCGACGAUCCGUAGCUGGUCUGAGAGGAUGAUCAGCCACACUGGAACUGAGACACGGUCAAGACUCCUACGGGAGGCAGCAGUGGGGAAUAUUGGACAAUGGGCGCAAGCCUGAUCCAGCCAUGCCGCGUGGGUGAAGAAGGCCUUCGGGUUGUACAGCCCUUUUGUUGGGAAAGAAAAGCAGCAGGUUAAUACCCCGCUGUUCUGACGGUACCCAAAGAAUAAGCACCGGCUAACUUCGUG